AUCCUUGAAAUGGUUAGUACAAUGCCAUGAUGUUAUGAUGUUAUGAUGUUAUGUUGUUAGAUAAAUAACAAGCACAAGCAAGUCACACAACAAUCAUUCCUAGGUUUUAAGGCUUGCGUGAGUUCCAUAGGUAAAAUACCUCCCCACUGAAGUUUGGUUGGUUCAACCUGUCUUAGAAUAGUAACCGGGUUCUAGAAGGAUCUCAAAUCAUUGACCUUUCCUUAAGUCCACUUCAGUGCAACACCAAGUGGUUGAC
rnacentral:lncRNA from 1 species